GACGAACCGUGCGAACGUUGUUCGGAUUCACUGGGCUUAAAGGGCGCGUAGGCGGCUUGCCAAGUCUGGGGUGAAAUCUUUCGGCUCAACCGGAAAAGUGCCUGGGAUACUGGCAAGCUCGAGGGAAGUAGGGGCAUGUGGAACUUCUGGUGGAGCGGUGAAAUGCGUUGAUAUCAGAAGGAACGCCGGUGGCGAAAGCGACGUGCUGGACUUCUUCUGACGCUGAGGCGCGAAAGCCAGGGGAGCAAACGGGAUUAGAAACCCCUGUAGUCC
rnacentral:rRNA from 1 species